AACGGCAUUGAGUGCUUGCACUCUUUGGACGUCGACCGGCGCACGGGUGAGUAACGCGUAUCCAACCUUCCCAUUACUGUGGGAUAACCUGCCGAAAGGCAGACUAAUACCGCAUAGUCUUCGAUGACGGCAUCAGAUUUGAAGUAAAGAUUUAUCGGUAAUGGAUGGGGAUGCGUCUGAUUAGCUUGUUGGCGGGGUAACGGCCCACCAAGGCGACGAUCAGUAGGGGGUUCUGAGAGGAAGGUCCCCCACACUGGAACUGAGACACGGUCCAGACUCCUACGGGAGGCAGCAGUGAGGAAUAUUGGUCAAUGGGCGUAAGCCUGAACCAGCCAAGUAGCGUGCAGGAUGACGGCCCUAUGGGUUGUAAACUGCUUUUAUGCGGGGAUAAAAGAGCCCACGUGUGGGUUUUUGCAGGUACCGCAUGAAUAAGGACCGGCUAAUUCCGUGCCAGCAGCCGCGGUAAUACGGAAGGUCCAGGCGUUAUCCGGAUUUAUUGGGUUUAAAGGGAGCGU
rnacentral:rRNA from 1 species